rnacentral:rRNA from 1 species
CAGUCGCCACGGGAAUACGAAGGGGGCUAGCGUUGUUCGGAAUUACUGGGCGUAAAGCGCACGUAGGCGGAUAUUUAAGUCAGGGGUGAAAUCCCAGAGCUCAACUCUGGAACUGCCUUUGAUACUGGGUAUCUUGAGUAUGGAAGAGGUGAGUGGAAUUCCGAGUGUAGAGGUGAAAUUCGUAGAUAUUCGGAGGAACACCAGUAGCGAAGGCGGCUCACUGGUCCAUUACUGACGCUGAGGUGCGAAAGCGUGGGGAGCAAACAGGAUUAGAUACCCGAGUAGUCCCUGUCUCUUAUAC